rnacentral:rRNA from 1 species
UGCAGUCGAGGGGUAACAGGGUUUGCUUGCAAACCGCUGACGACCGGCGCACGGGUGCGUAACGCGUAUAGAACCUACCUUUUACAGGGAGAUAGCCCGGAGAAAUCCGGAUUAAUAUCCCAUAGUAAUAUUUUACGGCAUCGUAAAAUGUUUAAAGCUACGGUGGUAAAAGAUGGCUAUGCGUCUUAUUAGCUAGUAGGUAAGGUAACGGCUUACCUAGGCAACGAUAAGUAGGGGCCCUGAGAGGGGGAUCCCCCACACUGGUACUGAGACACGGACCAGACUCCUACGGGAGGCAGCAGUGAGGAAUAUUGGACAAUGGGCGCAAGCCUGAUCCAGCCAUGCCGCGUGCAGGAAGACAGCCCUACGGGUUGUAAACUGCUUUUAUACAGGAAGAAUAAGGGACACGUGUGUCCUGGUGACGGUACCGUACGAAUAAGGACCGGCUAACUCCGUGCCAGCAGCCGCGGUAAUACGGAGGGUCCGAGCGUUAUCCGGAAUUAUUGGGUUUAAAGGGUCCGCAGGCGGGCAAUUAAGUCAGGGGUGAAAUGGUGCGGCUCAACCGUAGCACUGCCCUUGAUACUGGUUGUCUUGAGUCAUAGUGAAGUGGCCGGAAUAUGUAGUGUAGCGGUGAAAUGCAUAGAUAUUACAUAGAACACCGAUUGCGAAGGCAGGUCACUAACUAUCGACUGACGCUGAUGGACGAAAGCGUGGGGAGCGAACGGGAUUAGAUACCCCGGUAGUCCACGCCGUAAACGAUGGAUACUAGCUGUCCGGCACUGCAGUCGAGU